GACUGAACCCUGUUAAAGCGGCCAUGUAAGCUUUUAAGAUUCUGGUGGCUGGGUGCAGAGACCUACUCCUCUCAAGGUAGGAGGACAAGGAUGAGUCUCCCAUAUGCUGGCAGAACACAUGAAACUGUUUGGUCAGAGACAAAGAACUUCAUCACAUCUCAUCAAAGAUACACUGAAUUAAUCCAUAGCAUAGCAGCCCUACAAACUGGGAGGCCUGAUUUUUGAGUUUGGCCCGAGGAUAGGAAGUCAAAAGCUGGCAGAAGACGAAUGCUUUGCCGAAGUGACAAAUUUCUUUUCCUGGAGAAAGUUGCUGACUGCGGUGUUCCAAUUGGAGCAGCUUAUCUGCCCCUCCAGAUGUUGAAAUAAUGACAGAUGCUCAGAGAAAGCUUGACAAGAUGAAGAAAAGAGCCUGCUGAAGAGUCCAACCUGUUUGUAUGUGGGAAAAUAAAAGUAACACUUACUGCGAUCCCUACGCUGGUAAGAGGUCAUCAACCUCCUGUGAGAGAAACUUGUUCUCACCAGAGGAAAACUACCCAGUUGUAAAAUAUGGUUUGCAAGAUGAGAGAAACAUUUCUCCAAACAUUUCACCUUUCCUAAGAGAUUUCUUUGCAUCUUACUUGGACUGCUGAAAGAAGAUUUUUACAGGAAAAAUACAAAUCAUUUGAGUCUUCUGAAAUUCCACACAAAGUGAGUAACAGAAAUGGAUAAUUUUAAAAAAAUUUCCUGAUAAGUAAACCAGAGAGUAUGCAUAUGUAAUCCUUUGCUAUCUAUUAUCUAUAUUGUUGGAUAAGAGAUAAGAUAUGGGCUAGCUCUUAAAUACUACAGAUCCUUCAGGAAUAUUUGUGUGGCAGGAUCUGUAUUCCAGAAUGAUUUGGCCACUUAAUAAAUCACAUUUCCAAUCUGUGAAACAUGUAAUAGUAUACUUUUUCCAUACAGUUGGAUACCUCUUGGCCAAAAUGUAUGUGUUGUUUUUGCAGUUAAAAAAGAAAAACUUCUAAUUCAUUGUCUUAACCAUUUUAAAGUGUAUGGUAUUGUUAAGUAUAUGCACAAUGUUGGCAAUAAGUCUCUAAAACUUUUUUCAUUGUGCCAAACUGAAACUUCACAUCCACUGUACAUCAAUUCCCCAUUUCUCCCUCUCUCAGCCCUUGACAAUCACCAUUCUACUUUCUGUUUCAAAAAGUUUGGCUGUUUUAGAUAUCUUAUAUAAGUAGAAUCAUGCAGUAUUUGUCAUUUUGUGACUGACUUAUUUCACUUAGAAUAAUAUCCUCACAGUUAAUGAAUAUUGUAUUCUAUAACAGGAUUUUCUUUUAAAGGCUGAAUAAUAUUCCAUAGUAUGUAAAUAUGAUGAAUUUUAUUAAUUCGUUGAUGGAUAUUUAGAUUGCUUUCAUCUUUCAGCUAUUUUGAAUAAUACUACAUUGAGUAUGGAUGUGCAUAUAUUUAUAUCUUUAAGAUCCUGUUUUGAAUUAUUUUGGAUAUAUGCCCCAAAGUGGAAUUACUAGCAUGUAUGAUAAUUCUCUUUUUAAUUUUUAAGGAACCACAUACUGUUUUCCAUAGCAGAUGCACCUUUUAAUAUUUUCACCAACAGUAUACAGGGAUUUCCUUUUCUCUUGCAUCCUGCAAACAUUAUUCUCUGAAUGUUCAUUUGUUUUUAAUAGUGAUCAACCUAUGGGUGUGAGAUGAUAUAUCAUUGUGGUUUUGAUUUGCAUUUCCCCAUUGUUUAGUGGUGUUGAACAUCUUUUCAUAUGCUUGUUGUCCAUCUGUGUAUCUUCUUUGGAGAAAUGUCUGCUAAUGUCCUUUGUUCAUUUUUGAAUUAGGUUAUUUUGGUUGUUGUUGACUUGUAGGGUUUUGUUUUUUUUUAAAUAUAUUCUGGGUAUUAAUCCCUUAUCAAAUAUACAGUUUGCAAAUAUUCCAUUCCAUUCCAUAGGUUGCCUUUGUUUUGAAUAUUUAUUUAUUUCCUUGGUUGUGCUGGCUCUUAGUUGCGGCAUCCGGAAUCUUCGAUUUUCAUCGUGGCAUGUGCGACCUUUAGUUGUGGCUCAGGGGGAUCUAGUUCCCAGAUCAGGGAUUGAACCCAGGGACCCUGCAUUGGAAACCUAGAGUUUUAGCCACUGGACCACGGGGAUCCCAAGGUUUCCCUAGUUCUUUUUUUUUUUUUAGAACUUUGUACAUUUUGAAGCACGAUCAUAACUUUUAUCUUGAGCUUUUAUGUAUUCCUCAAUGAAAUUGCAAUUUUGAUGUUGUUGCAUUAGAUUGAAUAAAAAUAUUUCUUCUACCA